CCCUUCCUACGGGACGCAGCAGUAGGGAAUCUUCCACAAUGGACGACAGUCUGAUGGAGCAACGCCGCGUGAGUGAAGAAGGGUUUCGGCUCGGAAAGCUCUGUUGGUAGUGAAGAAAGAUAGAGGUAGUAACUGGCCUUUAUUUGACGGUAAUUACUUAGAAAGUCACGGCUAACUACGUGCCAGCAGCCGCGGUAAUACGUAGGUGGCAAUCGUUGUCCGGAUUUAUUGGGCGUAAAGCGAGUGCAGGCGGCUCAAUAAGUCGUGUGUG
rnacentral:rRNA from 1 species